UGGGGAAUAUUGCACAAUGGGCGCAAGCCUGAUGCAGCCAUGCCGCGUGUGUGAAGAAGGCCUUCGGGUUGUAAAGCACUUUCAGCGAGGAGGAAGGUGGUGAACUUAAUACGUUCAUCAAUUGACGUUACUCGCAGAAGAAGCACCGGCUAACUCCGUGCCAGCAGCCGCGGUAAUACGGAGGGUGCAAGCGUUAAUCGGAAUUACUGGGCGUAAAGCGCACGCAGGCGGUUUGUUAAGUCAGAUGUGAAAUCCCCGGGCUCAACCUGGGAACUGCAUUUGAAACUGGCAAGCUAGAGUCUCGUAGAGGGGGGUAGAAUUCCAGGUGUAGCGGUGAAAUGCGUAGAGAUCUGGAGGAAUACCGGUGGCGAAGGCGGCUCCCUGGACGAAGACUGACGCUCAGGUGCGAAAGCGUGGGGAGCAAAACAGUUAGNUACCCUGGUAGUCACG
rnacentral:rRNA from 1 species